UGAAAAUGUUUUGUAAACCAUGUGCACCAACAAUCUGUUCCAAUGAAACCAGCCAUUAUGGAAACGGUAUAAUAGCAGGAGCUCAUUAUGGAAAGUUAAAUUGCAAAUCAUAUUUUGUUUCAAAUGAGCUGGAUGAAUGCAUAAUUUGCCUCAAAGAAAUAGUUUUGUAGUUCUGAUCCUCCUGCCAAGAGCUGAAGCUCUUGGGCUGCAGCUGCCGGGGCAGCCUGAUUGUCCAUUUCAAACUGCAGGAAGUUUGGGUUUCAAAGGAAGAUUUGAAGGAAGAAAAAGGGGAAAAAAAGUGGAGGAAUAAAAGGCAGAGCAGUGGGAGCUCCCAGUUGGUUUCCUGUGUGAGAUUCUGGUGGUGCAGGGUGGGUUUCAAACACUCCGGGGGUCUGUGUGGGGCUGAUCGCGUCCCUGUGCGGGAGCCAGACCCCACAGCACGGGCAGAGCUGGUUCCCCAGGAGCCCAGGUGACAGAGCAGGUGACAGAGCAGGUGACAGUCGAGGUGACAGCCAGGUGACAGCCCAGGUGACAGCCAGGUGACAGCCAGGUGACAGCCAGGAAAGAAGUCCCGGAAACUUGUAAUUAAAAUGUUUAUACCGAGGGCAGGAUUUCAUAGCCUGAACCCUCAGGAAUCUCAGUGAAGCAGCAGUGGCACAGUGAUAACAAGAAAAAUAAAUAGAAGAAGCAUCGAGCUGGCUCUGGGUGAGUGGAGAAGCCAUAAAUCACUCUCAGAGUGUGUCCCAGAGGCUCUCACCUCAGGGCUCAAGUGCCUUUUAACCUCCCGGAUCAUGGAAACCCUGCAGCCGCUGCUGUUGGGCUCCAAAAGAAGCCUUUGGGGCAGCUUUUCCAGCUGAGCUAGAGCUGGUGCCCUGCACUGCUGCCCCUCUCCCCGCCAGCCCCUUCAGCAGCCUCAGCCUCUCCUGGCUCUGCUCCCAUUCCUCACUGCUGCUCCAGGUGGCUGGGAACUCUCUGGAGUGCUGGAGCUGCCCUGGUUAACUGAGACUGCCAGGAUGCCAGGGCAUAAACCCCAGAACAGAGAAAAUUCUAUUAAACAACUGUGAAAGAAAUCAU